AUUGAACGCUGGCGGCAGGCCUAACACAUGCAAGUCGAGCGGAGCGGCGGACGGGUGAGUAAUGCCUAGGCAUCUGCCCGGUAGAGGGGGAUAACGUCCCGAAACGGGCGCUAAUACCGCAUACUAUCAGAUGAGCCUCGGUCGGAUUAGCUAGUGGGUGGGGUAAAGGCCUACCAAGGCGACGAUCCGUAACUGGUCUGAGAGGAUGAUCAGUCACACUGUAACUGUGACACGGUCCAGCCGCCUACGGGAGGCAGCAGUGGGGAAUAUUGGACAAUGGGCGAAAGCCUGAUCCAGCCAUGCAGCGUGUGUGAAGAAGGUCUUCGGAUUGUAAAGCACUUUAGUUUGGGAGGCGUUACCAACAGAAUAAGCACCGGCUAACUUCGUGCCAGCAGCCGCGGUAAUUC
rnacentral:rRNA from 1 species